GUGGAUCUAAUGCAUGCGAUGUAUGUAAGGACUGAUGACUAAAACUAAGAGGAUGCAGUAAUGCGUACUUUCCAGCAAGUCCCCAGCGUGAAGAAACGCCAACCUCAUUAUAAAAUAUUGUCCAUUCUAAGAAGACGAAUAGGCAGUUCCUUUUCCAAAGCAAUCCAUAAAGGAAUGCUGUGCUCUUUCAGGAUGUUUCGCAAUGCCAGGCCUAAGCUGGAGUCAGCAGCAAAUGACAGCAGCCAUGCCAAAAACAUGCACUUUCUUUACAAAGUUUCCACUUCUGGAGAAACAUCUAACAUUUGCAGUUCAGCUACCAUGUUUCUUAAUUUAAGUGACAUAGCUGCAGUCACAGGCGUGACAUUUACAGCUGCAGCUUUGAAACAACUCGCAUUUGCCAAGCAGAAAUAAAGUUGAUGUUUGUCCACAAGUUUAGGGUGUUCAUCAUUACUUUGCUCAUGAAUGUAGCUAUUUUUUAUUAAAUCUGGAUAACAGAAAAGAUAUAGCUGGCUUUUUAGUACCAGUGGUAGAAUAUACCUCCAGGAUGAGGGUCUAAUUUUGUUUCUUGAUAUGCAUUUUAUUUAGGGAAUGAUACAUAUCUAGCCCACUCAACACCUGCUGUCUUCAGACACAUUGGCCAUUUAUGUCAAUUAUUUAGGGUUCUCCUCUAGAUUCUGCAGAACAGCUUUUCCACUGAAGAGUUCUCUCCUGCCCUCACUCGUUUUCUCAUCUCAAGCUAUUACCACAGCCAUUAGUGUUGGAGAGGACAAGCUGUAAGAAACAUCUACCUUUCUAUGGGGUGAGGUACCCUAAAGAGCUCUAGCUCUGAAAUUUAGACUCCAGAAAUGUGUUUUUCCUUUCAUUUCGUCACACAUUCCUAUUUGCUUAAUGUGUUCAAAAUUCAGUUGCCCCAGACCACUGCCUGGCCCUACCACACCAUAUGAACCAAUGCCUGGCUUGUUGCAAGAUCUAAAAACAAAACAACAAAAAAAUCACAUUCUAUCUUUAUGGGAUUUUAGGGUAAAAUUAAUCCAAUUAUAAACUGAGAAUUACACAAAAUGUUUCAAUUUAACAAUGCUAAUUCAUAGCAACUAGUAUUUAAAUGAGAAUAGCUCUUGCAAAGCGAUCCAAUGUCAUGCAGAUUCAUUAAGAAUGACAGGAAUAGGGAAUGUUUCCUGCUUUUUCUGCUGCAAUCUAUUAUCUCCCAAAUUAGCUACACUCUAGCUCUGCUGAACCAAAACUAUAGGUAUGCUUUACAUACUGCUCCUGCAGGCUUGUACUCCAGGCCUGCCACAUAGGUCACUCACAGUGGCAUCAGCGCCUGGUUUUGCCUUGGAUCUUUAGCCCCAGCCCCACUGGUAGACAGACGAGGUCAAUGAACAAGAACACAUAUGUACCCAGGUUUGGGCACAGCCUGUUACCAUGCAACAAAGUAAUAAAACAAAGCACUGGUGUGAUGUCUGCUGUCA
rnacentral:lncRNA from 1 species